rnacentral:rRNA from 1 species
UACGUAGGGUGCGAGCGUUGUCCGGAUUUAUUGGGCGUAAAGAGCUCGUAGGUGGCUUGUUACGUCGGGUGUGAAAGCUUGGGGCUUAACUCCAGGUCUGCAUUCGAUACGGGCUGGCUAGAGGUAGGUAGGGGAGAACGGAAUUCCUGGUGUAGCGGUGAAAUGCGCAGAUAUCAGGAGGAACACCGGUGGCGAAGGCGGUUCUCUGGGCCUUACCUGACGCUGAGGAGCGAAAGCGUGGGGAGCGAACAGG